UGCCAGCAGCCGCGGUAAUACGGAGGGUGCGAGCGUUAUCCGGAAUCACUGGGUUUAAAGGGUGCGCAGGCGGCCGAUUAAGUCAGGAGUGAAAGACCCCCGCUCAACGGGGGAAUUGCUCUUGAUACUGGUUGGCUCGGAUCGAGAUGAGGUCGGCGGAAUGUAACAUGUAGCGGUGAAAUGCAUAGAUAUGUUAUGGAACACCAAUUGCGUAGGCAGCCGGCUGGACUCGUAUCGACGCUGAGGCACGAAAGCGUGGGGAGCGAACAGGAUUAGAUA
rnacentral:rRNA from 1 species